UACGGGGGGGGCAAGCGUUGUUCGGAAUUACUGGGCGUAAAGGGCUCGUAGGUGGCCAACUAAGUCAGACGUGAAAUCCCUCGGCUUAACCGGGGAACUGCGUCUGAUACUGGAUGGCUUGAGUUCGGGAGAGGGAUGUGGAAUUCCGGGUGUAGCGGUGGAAUGCGUAGAGAUCCGGAAGAACACCAGUGGCGAAGGCGGCCCGCUGGGCAGUGGCUGACGCUGAAGCGCGACAGCGUGGGGAGCAAACAGG
rnacentral:rRNA from 1 species